UUCCAGGACGGCGCGGGAAUUCUAUCUCACUCCGUGCGCGUUGUGCUGCUUUCAGCAAAUACAGAGCAACUUCAUCGUGGUGAUCCACCCCGGCUCGACCACCCUGCGGCUCGGGAGAGCCACGGACACUUUGCCCGCGGGCAUCCCGCACGUCAUCGCCCGGCGGCACAAGCAGCAGGGCCAGGCGGCCUACAGGGACAGCUGGCUCCUCAGGGACGGCCUCAAUAAACCUGAAAGCACUGAGCAGAGACAAAAUGGCCUUAAAAUGGUGGACCAAGCAAUAUGGUCCAAAAAGAUGUCGAAUGGAGCGAGGCGUAUUCCAGUGUCACCUGAUCAGGCCAGGUCAUACAACAGACAGAUGCGACCAGCUAUUUUGGACCACAGCUCUGGGGCCAAGUGGACAAACACAUCAAAUCAUCCUGAAUUUUUGGUAGGAGAAGAGGCACUGUAUGUUAAUCCAUUGGAUUCUUAUAAUAUACACUGGCCCAUUAGAAGAGGGCAGCUGAAUCUCCACCCGGGACCUGGUGGCUCCCUCACUGCAGUAUUAGCAGACCUUGAAGUUAUAUGGUCACAUGCAAUACAGAAAUA